rnacentral:sRNA from 1 species
GCGAUGAGCUAAGCUGCAUAAGACGGACAGGCAUUCCUUUAUGGAACACGUUGUGGAGCGUGGCCUGAUACGCCGCAGCUAUCGAUACAUCCCGCAUUUAUGCGGGGUGU